CCCUGGCCUUUGGCCAGUGGACCCGUCCUGAGGGUGGGGGCCGAGACGCGCGCACUCGCGAGAGCCGUCCAGUGGAUCGGCGGCUUCUUCCCACGGGACGACCAGGAGCUAGAGAUGCUAUUAUGUUGUCAUUUUAUCGAGUGUGAGAAGUCAGCCCAGAGAUGGAAAACUUCAUUCUGUAUGAGGAGAUUGGCAGAGGAAGCAAGACCGUUGUCUAUAAAGGGCGACGAAAGGGGACGAUCAAUUUUGUAGCUAUUCUUUGUACUGAUAAGUGCAAAAGACCUGAAAUAACCAAUUGGGUCCGUCUCACCCAUGAAAUUAAACACAAGAAUAUUGUAACUUUUCAUGAAUGGUACGAAACCAGCAAUCAUCUCUGGCUAGUAGUGGAACUCUGCACAGGUGGUUCCUUAGAAAUGGUUAUUGCUCAGGAUGAAAACCUUCCUGAAGAUGUUGUGAGAGAAUUUGGGAUUGACCUGAUUACUGGAUUACAUCAUCUUCAUCAACUUGGCAUUCUCUUUUGUGACAUUUCUCCUGGAAAGAUACUCUUAGAAGGGCCUGGCACAUUGAAGUUUAAUAAUUUUUGCUUGGCAAAAGUGGAAGGUGAAAAUUUGGAAGAAUUCUUUGCUUUGGUGGCAGCAGAAGAAGGAGGAGGUGAUAGCGGAGAAAAUGUACUGAAGAAAAACAUGAAAAGUAGAGUCAAAGGAUCUCUUAUAUAUGCAGCACCAGAAAUUGUGAGGGGUACUGACUUCUCCACCACCAGUGACCUCUGGUCUUUGGGGUGCCUGCUCUAUGAAAUGUUUUCAGGAAAACCACCAUUCUUCUCAGAAAGUUAUUCAGAAUUAGUUGAAAAGAUUUUUUAUGAAGAUCCUUUGCCCCCUGUUCCAAAAGAUUCUUCUCUUCCUAAAGCUUCUUCAGAUUUUAUUAAUUUGCUUGAUGGUUUACUUCAAAAAGAUCCUCAGAAAAGGUUAACUUGGGCGGGCCUACUGCAGCAUUCAUUUUGGAAGAAUGCUUUCACUAGAAAAGAUCAAGACUCAAGCACUGAGGAUUCCAGCGUCAGCAGAAACGUGGUGGAGUGUUCUGGUAUACAAGAUUCCAAGGAGCUUUUGAGGAGCCCUCAGAGUGGACAAGCAAAAGGGGAGAAGAGUGGUCAGCGACUGAGUCACUCUUUCAGACUAGAAAAUCCAACUGAGUUGAGGCCUAAGAGUACUCUUGGGGGUCAACCGAGUGAGUCCAUGUUUCUUCUCAGUUCUCGUCCUACUCCAAGAACCAGCACUGCCCUGGAAUUGAGUCCUGGUGAGGAUAUGACUCAAAAUUCACCACAGAAGACUUCUGUGACCAAGAUUACAAGUGGACACCUCAGUCAGCAGGACCUCGAAUCCCAGAUGAGAGAGCUUAUCUACACAGACUCAGAUCUUGUCAUCACCCCAAUUAUCGACAAUCCGAAGAUAAUGAAACAACCACCAAUUAAAUUUGAUCAAAAAAUACUGCAUCUACCAGUACAUUCAGUGGAUAAAUUAGUAUUUCUCAAAGACCAAGAUUGGAAUGACUUUUUGCAACAAGUUUGCUCUCAGAUCGACUCUGCUGAGAAGAGCACGGGAGCCGCCCGAGCCAAGCUGAAUCUCCUUUGCUAUCUGUGUGUUGUGGCCAGUCACAGGGAGGUGGCCACCAGGCUCCUCCAUUCCCCACUGUUCCAAUUGCUAAUCCAGCAUUUGCGAAUAGCUCCAAACUGGGAUAUAAGGGCCAAGAUUGCUCGGGUGAUUGGUUUACUGGCCUCGCACACAACUGAACUCCAGGAAAAUACACCUGUUAUUGAGGCAAUUACUCUUUUAACAGAGUUAAUUAGGGAAAACUUCAGGAACAGCAAAUUAAAACAGUGCCUUUUACCAACGCUUGGAGAGCUGAUCUAUCUUGUAGCCACCCAGGAAGAAAAAAAAAAGAACCCCAGAGAAUGCUGGGCUGUUCCCUUGGCUGCAUACACAGUGCUAAUGAGGUGCCUUCGGGAAGGGGAAGAACGUGUUGUGAAUCACAUGGCAGCAAAGAUUAUUGAAAAUGUCUGCACUACCUUUUCUGCUCAGGCCCAGGGCUUUAUUACAGGAGAAAUUGGACCUGUUUUGUGGUACCUAUUCAGACAUUCCACUGUGGAUUCUCUUAGGAUAACAGCAAUAUCGGCGUUGUGUAGAAUCACUCGCCAUUCUCCGACUGCCUUCCAGAAUGUUAUUGAGAAAGUGGGACUGAACUCAGUAAUAAACUCCCUGGCCUCUGCCAUCUGCAAAGUUCAGCAGUACAUGUUGACCUUAUUCACUGCUAUGUUGUCCUGUGGGAUUCAUCUGCAGAGACUAAUCCAAGAAAAGGAUUUUGUCUCUACAGUUAUCCGUUUACUUGACAGCCCCUCAACUUCCAUUAGAGCAAAGGCCUUCCUGGUUCUUUUGUAUAUUUUGAUUCAUAACCAUGAGAUGCUGCUGCUCAGCUGCCAAGCAAGACUGGUGAUGUACAUCGAGAGAGACAGCAGAAAGACCACUCCAGGCAAGGAGCAGCAGAGCGGCAAUGAGUACCUGUCCAAAUGCCUGGGCCUUCUCAUCCGUCACAUCGUGCAGGAACUGCCACGAGUCCUGGGUGACAUUCUUACUGCCUUGGCUAACGUUUCUGGUCGUAAACACCCAUCAACGGUUCAGGCGAAGCAGCUGAAGACAUGUCUACCCCUGAUGCCCAUAGUGCUUCAUCUCGUAACUUCGCAGGUAUUUCGACCUCAAGUUGUAACAGAAGAGUUCCUUUUCAGUUACGGAACUGUUCUUAGUCAUAUUAAAUCGAUAGACUCAGGAGAAACUAACAUAGAUGGAGCCAUAGGACUGAUGGCAUCGGAAGAAUUUAUCAAGAUCACAUUGUCAGCUUUUGAAGCAAUAAUCCAGUAUCCUAUUUUAUUGAAAGACUAUUGCUCUACGGUUGUUGAUUAUAUCCUGCCACCCUUGGUCUCCUUGGUUCAAAGCCAAAAUGUGGAGUGGAGACUCUUCAGCUUGCGGUUGCUCUCAGAAACCACAUGUCUGCUCGUGAACCAGAAGGUUGGGGAUGACAAGAAGGAGGCAAAUGUUGAUUCUGACAGCAAUCUUCUGGCUCUCAUUAGAGAUGUUUUACUUCCCCAGUAUGAGCACAUUCUCUCGGAGCCUGACCCAGUACCAGCAUAUGCUCUGAAACUGCUGGUUGCCAUGACGGAACACAAUCCAGCUUUUACCAGACUUGUGGAAGAAAGCAAACUGAUCCCGCUCGUUUUUGAAGUAAUUCUGGAACAUCAGGAGAACAUUCUGGGUAACACCAUGCAAAGUGUGAUUGCAUUGCUCAACAAUCUGGUUGCCUGCAAAGAUUUGAAUAUGAAGCUGCUUUAUGAACAAGGCCUGGUCCAUCAUGUCUGUAACUUGUUCACCGAAACUGCCACACUAUGCUUGGACGUGGACAAUAAAAACAACGAGAUGGCUGCCGCGCUGCUAUUUUCGCUGCUUGAUAUUUUGUAUGGCAUGCUGACCUACACAUCAAGUAUUGUACGGCUGGCUCUGCAGGCACAGAAGUCUGGGUCAGGAGGGGACACUCAGGCUGCAGAAGACCUGCUGCUGCUCAGCAAACCUCUGACAGACCUCAUCAGCCUGCUCAUUCCACUGCUUCCUAAUGAGGAUCCUGAAAUUUUUGAAGUCUCAUCCAAGUGUCUGUCUAUACUGGUGCAGCUGUAUGGCGGGGAAAACCCAGACAGCCUGUCUCCUGAAAAUGCAGAGAGCUUUGCUCAUUUACUGACAUCCAAAGAGGACCCAAAGGAGCAGAAGCUUCUGCUGAGGAUUCUCAGAAGAAUGAUCACCUCCAAUGAGAAGCACCUGGAGAGCCUCAAGAAUGCGGGCAGCCUCCUGCGCGCUCUGGAGUGGCUGGCCCCAGCUGGUAGUUCGUCUGCUGACAGUGCUGUGGCUUCCUUGGCCCUGGAAAUCCUCCAAGCUGUUGGACACUAGGCAAGAAGGCACUUGGCAUAAGCCUGCCCUACAGCACCAACCCUUGGCUACACAGGCAAGACAGGGCUCCUCUACAGCCUGUGCUAAUCAACUGGAUGAGAAACUGCAGUCCUCAGCCUGAUGGCACCUGUAAACGUUUGUCUCUCCUCCGAAGUUUUACAAGGCGGGACUAGGUAUGAACGCUCUCCCAGCUGCAGCUCCAGAGCGAGCUUUGGAAGCUAGUUUUUGCCUCUUCCUCCCACUUUUACCUGCCUGCAUUUCUUCAUUUCAGGAACAAACUGAUUCCAAGAAUCCUAGGGAGGACUGGGCAAGACUCCACUAACAGGCACAGGUAGUUAAGUUUGUGUAAGGGAAUGCAAAACGCUGGCUUCCUUGAAGGUCUGCCCAUCUAGAUGGGAUGGCAGUAUCAAAGUAGAAUCAUCUCCCCAAUUUCUACCAAUUACCCCGUUAUAUCCUUACAACCUUUCCAGCUGCUUCUUAUGUUCCCUCACACAUAAACCUUUAGAAUCUCCUAUGUAAGGGUCAAGCCCAUGAAAGUAUUUGGUAGACACUGUAGAAAGGUAAAGGGACUGUUGUACUGAGACAGGCUUAUUCUUAAAUCUGGAGUGGAAGAUAGGGUGGGUCCUGGGCAGCUGGAACCAGCUGGGCAAGUUGAGGCCAUUCCAUUCCUUGGCCUCUUUGGGGCCUCAGUUUCCCCAUCUACAAAAUGAAAGGGUUAAUCAAUAGCUGCUCCCCCUCUCCUGGCCCCAGUGCUCUCUGCUUCUCUAGGAGAGGGGAUUUGCCCCAUAACAAACAUUGCCCAAAGCCCAGAUGGGACCUUGUCCCAAGCAGCAGCAGCAGCCACCACCAUGCAGGUGGAACAAGCAGAAGUGGCACCCAUGUGGUCGCACAG